rnacentral:rRNA from 1 species
AUUGAACGCUGGCGGCAGGCCUAACACAUGCAAGUCGAGCGGAUGAAGGGAGCUUGCUCCUGGAUUCAGCGGCGGACGGGUGAGUAAUGCCUAGGAAUCUGCCUGGUAGUGGGGGAUAACGUCCGGAAACGGGCGCUAAUACCGCAUACGUCCUGAGGGAGAAAGUGGGGGAUCUUCGGACCUCACGCUAUCAGAUGAGCCUAGGUCGGAUUAGCUAGUUGGUGGGGUAAAGGCCUACCAAGGCGACGAUCCGUAACUGGACUGAGAGGAUGAUCAGUCAAACUGGAACUGAGACACGGUCCAGACUCCUACGGGAGGCAGCAGUGGGGAAUAUUGGACAAUGGGCGAAAGCCUGAUCCAGCCAUGCCGCGUGUGUGAAGAAGGUCUUCGGAUUGUAAAGCACUUUAAGUUGGGAGGAAGGGCAGUAAGUUAAUACCUUGCUGUUUUGACGUUACCAACAGAAUAAGCACCGGCUAACUUCGUG